CUAAUCAUUACCAAGCAUUUCCAUACCACUCAAUAACCAUAUCAUAAGACCAUAUAUACAAAAUUAUUAUAAUACUAUACAUGCCAUACUCAAAAUAUACAAGCCAUUAUGCCAAGAUGGUAUACAGAUAGUGUGAGCGAGCCUCCGACCAUUCCCGAUUUCUGAGCUGGCUUGUCAAAACUACAAGGAAUGAAAAGGAGGGAGUAAGCAUAAAUGAUUAAUAAGUUCACAUGCAAAUAGCAAGUAACAUUACCAUAUAAGCAAACAUAAAACAUCAUUUGCAUAAUCAUCACCAAGACAUUCAUAUCACAUUUUCAUUUAUCAUCUUACCAUAUUGUUGUUAUAUCGAUUUUUCAACCCGAGGGUUAAGUACAUACCUGUUCAAAGUACCCAUUUCACAACACUUACCAAUACGUCCCUUUCAUCUUGAGUAUUCCUCCAUUUCAGUAGAACUUUACCCGUUGAACACAUCGGAAUAUAAUUCGGAUACAUGGAAAGUUUGCACAUAAGUGCCACAUAUGUAGCCAAGCUACCAUGUAACCCGCCCAUAAGUGAACUUGGACUCAACUCAAAGAGCUCGGGCGUUCGCAUCCAUAAGUGAACUCGGACUCAACUCAACGAGCUCGGAUGCCUAGUUACAUCUCACGAACUCGGACUCAACUCAACGAGUUCGGACAUUCGCAUCCAUAAGUGAACUCGGACUCAACUCAAAGAGUUUGGAUGCCCAAAUAUCCCAGUGACAUGUCACUUGUAUCCUAAUCCAUUCUUAAGGUUCAACGGGACCUUUUUCCCAAUCAUGUGUCUCAACCAUCUUCUACGGAAUGCCGAUACCGAUACUCUGUAGUAUUUCACAUUUUCCAAGUAUAUCACAUAAUUUGACAUAUUAUCAAACAAUUAUCACAAGUAUAAUAUUUCAUAAUAAUUAUCAUAUCAUUUAAAUAACAUUAAAACAUUUAAAAUAAUAACUAUGUUACCAACAUUAACAUAUGAACUUACCUCGUAUGCGAAAAUGGCUAUUUUUACCAUUUCAUCCACAACUUGGUAUUUUCC
rnacentral:lncRNA from 1 species